GAAUACUCACUUUGGCAACUCAUAUACUAAAACUGGAACAGUACAGAGGAGAUUAGCAUGACCUUGUGCAAGGAUGGCAUGCAGAUUCAUGAAGUGUUAAAAAAAAUC